UUUUAAACAAUCAAGCUCAGCUCAGACAUUUUGAUUUAAACCAAUGAGAAGACACAGUAGAUCCUGUCGGCGGCAACACGGUUUCCCUGCUCUGAAAAGCAGCUGGUGUCCUCAUCUACGCAACUUUUGCUAACAGGAUCACAUUGUCCGUGUCCAGGUUGAAGGCGGCGGCGAGCCAGGGGAAGAGGGACAGGUAGAGGAGCGUCUGCCCGGGGGCCAUCUGCUCCGGCCUGGGACCGAGCGGGAACCUGCUGCUUGUGCCCUUCGCCCGACUACGGCUGCCGCUCCCCUCGCUGCCACCCGCUGAAUGAGCCCGUUGUUCUCCUGAGACUCCCAGGCUUUGCACGAAGUGACGAAGAGAGGCGAGCCCCGCCUCCCCCAGCCACGCCGGCCCCGGCCCUCAGCCUCGCCUAGCCCUGCCCUGCCAAUCUUCCAGCCCCUGAACAGCACCACGAGGCUCCUCCAGCCCGGAAAGGCGCCACGAAUCCUAAUGUAGACACCCUGGCCCAGAUCUACACUGGGAUUUAGGCGUCGCAAUCACAAGAACACGCUGAAAUCCACAAAGCCUGAGUUCGAUGCAUAGGCUCCCUAUAAAUAAAUGAGGAGAGAUGGGCACCUUACAGUGAGAUCUACAAAAGCCAACAUGCUAGAACAAGCAUGCUCAAAAUGUGACCCACCGAGUCCUGAAAUACAGUCUGUGGAUGCCAGUCAAGUGACUCUAUGCCUACAUGAUCCCUUCAGAGGACCAAUUUGACUUCCAAAGACACAUGAACAAAAGCUGAAAUCACUGGCAAACCCCUCACUACUUAAAUGGUACAUUUACUACAGGUAAAAUCGUAUGGUUACUAUUACCCUGCCCCCCACUCACACUUUUUGGUACAAAGCUAAACAAACUCACAAUGUCCCCAAGUUUGGGCCACCCUGCUUGGUGUAACACUAGCAUGCUGACAU